CCUACGGGUGGCAGCAGUGGGGAAUAUUGGGCAAUGGGCGCAAGCCUGACACAGCAACGCCGCGGGAAGGAAGAAGGCUUUCGAGUUGUAAACUUCUUUGAAGGGGGAAGAGCAGAAGACGGUACCCCUUGAAUAAGCCACGGCUAACUACGUGCCAGCAGCCGCGGUAAUACGUAGGUGGCAAGCGUUGUCCGGAUUUACUGGGUGUAAAGGGCGUGCAGCCGGAGAGACAAGUCAGAUGUGAAAUCCACGGGCUCAACCCGUGAACUGCAUUUGAAACUGUUUCCCUUGAGUGUCGGAGAGGUAAUCGGAAUUCCUUGUGUAGCGGUGAAAUGCGUAGAUAUAAGGAAGAACACCAGUGGCGAAGGCGGAUUACUGGACGAUAACUGACGGUGAGGCGCGAAAGCGUGGGGAGCAAACAGGAUUAGAUACCCCAGUAGUC
rnacentral:rRNA from 1 species